rnacentral:rRNA from 1 species
UACGAAGGGGGGCUAGCGUUGCUCGGAAUUACUGGGCGUAAAGCGUGCGCAGGCGGUUUUGUAAGUCUGUCGUGAAAGCCCCGGGCUCAACCUGGGGAAUUGCGAUGGAGACUGCAAGGCUUGAAUCUGGCAGAGGGGGGUAGAAUUCCACGUGUAGCAGUGAAAUGCGUAGAGAUGUGGAGGAACACCGAUGGCGAAGGCAGCCCCCUGGGUCAAGAUUGACGCUCGAUGCACGAAAGCGUGGGGAGCAAACAGG